rnacentral:lncRNA from 1 species
GAAGUGUUUCUGGAACAGAGCAGCAUUAGAGAGAUACAAGGCCAUGGCAUUACACAGCUUGUUUGUGCAAUGGUGGCAGAAGAUAAAGCAGUAGAAAUGGAGCAUCUGCAAGCAGAGUUUCAUCAUCUAGAAAUCUGUGUGCUGGACUCAGAUGAGGAAAUUGAGCAUUAGAGUAAUUAAAUCACGUGCCCAGGCUCACACAAAUAGCAAAUGAAUGAAUCUUGGAUUUUAACUCAGGCAAUAUAAUUCCAAAGAAAGAAAAGGAAAGAAAAGAAAGAAGAAAGAACGAAAGAAAAAGAAAAGAAAGAAAGAAAGAAGAAAGAAAGGAAGGAAGAAAGGAAGGAAAAAGAGAGAGAGAGAAACGGUUGAAAAUUGGGUGGACGUGUGGACAAUUCACAGAUUUGUGCAGACUCUGAAGAUCCUCAUCUUUCUCUCUUCCCAGCCUGAAUCUGGGAGGAUCCGAAGGGGAAAUCUAAUGAAAAUAGUUCCCUGCCAAUAUAAUUAUUCCAUUUUAUAGAUGAGAGAACGGAGGC